AUGAACGUUGGCGGUGCGCCUAAUACAUGCAAGUCGAACGGAGACAGUAGCAAUAUUGUUUUAGUGGCGAACGGGUGAGUAACGCGUUGGUGAUCUGCCUCGAAGUGUGGAAUAACGUUCCGAAAGGAGCACUAAUACCGCAUGGUCUUCCGGUUUUUAGAAAACUGGAAGUAAAGGAGUAAUUCGCUUCGAGAGGAGCCUGCGUCCCAUCAGCUAGUUGGUAAGGUAAUGGCUUACCAAGGCUAUGACGGGUAGGGGACCUGAGAGGGUGGCCCCCCACAAUGGAACUGAAACACGGUCCAUACACCUACGGGUGGCAGCAGUAGGGAAUAUUGGUAAUGUGCGAAAGCGCGAACCAGCAACGCCGCGUGCACGAUGAAGGCCUUCGGGUCGUAAAGUGCUUUUAGAGAGGAUGAGGAAGGACAGUACUUUCUGAAUAAGCCUCGGCUAACUACGU
rnacentral:rRNA from 1 species